UAUUAUAUGCUUGUGUUUAGGACUAAGCCAUGCAUGUGUAAGUUUUGCCCGAGGUCCGGGUUUCUCACUGCGUACGGCUCAUUAAAACAGUUACAAUCUACUUGCGAGUUUAUGAUGUACGGAUAUCCCCAGGAAAUCUGUGGCCAAUACGUGUGUUCUCCUUCGGGGGGCGUUGCGCAUGGGUGUCGGACGUUGUCCGUGCGUACAGUAGAACGGCGUAAUUCGCGCCGUGUUCGCAAAUGAGUUUCUGACCCAUCAGUUUAGGUUGGCGGGAUCAUUGCCCGCCAAGACGAUUACGGGUGCCAGGGAAUUAGGGUUCGACGCUGGAGAGGGGGCUUGAGACAUGGCCACCACUACUAAGGUAGGCAGCAGGCGCGUAAAUUACCCAAUGAAGAUUUUUUUGAGGUAGUGACGACGAAUAUCAAUAUUUGGCGCUUUCAGUGCUAAGUAAUUGGAAUGAUUGGAAUUUAAAAGAAUUCAAGAGUAACAAAU
rnacentral:rRNA from 1 species